GCAGCAGGUGGCGUGGUGGUUACAGCCCUUAUCUUGCAACGGAAGCACCCGGGUUCGAAUCCCGUCUCCUGCUGCA
rnacentral:tRNA from 1 species